CAGGUAUUGUAGGGGCAACCCACCCCUACAUCUGGUGCCCAACGUGGAGGCUUUUCUCUAGGGUGAAGGUACGCUCGAGCGUGGUCAUUGAGGACAAGUCGACGAGAGAUCCUGAGUACGUCUACAGUCAGCCUUACAUCUGCAGGUGUACCCAACAGCUCCGAAGAGACAGCGACCAUCGAGAACGGGCCAUGAUGACGAUGGCGGUUUUGUCGAAAAGAAAAGGGGGAAAUGUGGGGAAAAGCAAGAGAGAUCAGAUUGUUACUGUGUCUGUGUAGAAAGAAGUAGACAUAGGAGACUCCAUUUUGUUAUGUACUAAGAAAAAUUCUUCUGCGUUAUGUACUAAGAAAAAUUCUUCUGCCUUGAGAUUCUGUU
rnacentral:lncRNA from 10 species